UACGGAGGGGGCUAGCGUUGUUCGGAAUUACUGGGCGUAAAGCGCACGUAGGCGGCUUUGUAAGUCAGGGGUGAAAUCCUGGAGCUCAACUCCAGAACUGCCUUUGAUACUGAAGAUCUUGAGUCCGGGAGAGGUGAGUGGAACUGCGAGUGUAGAGGUGAAAUUCGUAGAUAUUCGCAAGAACACCAGUGGCGAAGGCGGCUCACUGGCCCGGUACUGACGCUGAGGCACGAAAGCGUGGGGAGCAAACAGG
rnacentral:rRNA from 1 species